UGCAUGUGUGUGUGUGUGUGUGUGUGUGCGCGCACACACACACACACACACACACAGGCU
rnacentral:miRNA from 1 species